UAGGGAAUCUUCCGCAAUGGGCGAAAGCCUGACGGAGCAACGCCGCGUGAGUGAUGAAGGUCUUCGGAUCGUAAAACUCUGUUAUUAGGGAAGAACAAAUGUGUAAGUAACUAUGCACGUCUUGACGGUACCUAAUCAGAAAGCCACGGCUAACUACGUGCCAGCAGCCGCGGUAAUACGUAGGUGGCAAGCGUUAUCCGGAAUUAUUGGGCGUAAAGCGCGCGUAGGCGGUUUUUUAAGUCUGAUGUGAAAGCCCACGGCUCAACCGUGGAGGGUCAUUGGAAACUGGAAAACUUGAGUGCAGAAGAGGAAAGUGGCAUUCCAUGUGUAGCGGUGAAAUGCGCAGAGAUAUGGAGGAACACCAGUGGCGAAGGCGACUUUCUGGUCUGUAACUGACGCUGAUGUGCGAAAGCGUGGGGAUCAAACAGG
rnacentral:rRNA from 1 species